rnacentral:rRNA from 1 species
GGAAUUAAAGUGAAUGACGAUAUAGGUCAUUACUUCCAGACACAUAAAGGCCUCAGACAAGGAGAUCCGAUGUCCCCUAUCCUAUUUAACAUUGUGGUGGAUAUGUUAGCAAUUUUGAUAGGAAGGGCUAAGGAGAAUGGUCAAGUGGGUGGUUUGGUACCUCAUCUUCUUGAUGGAGGUGUAUCCGUCCUUCAAUACGCUGAUGAUACAAUCAUCUUUAUGGAGCAUGAUUUGUCCAAGGCGAGAAAUAUGAAGCUGGUGUUAUGCCUUUUUGAACAAUUGACCGGGUUAAAGAUUAACUUU